rnacentral:misc_RNA from 1 species
GAUGAAGAACGCAGCGAAAUGCGAUAAGUAAUGUGAAUUGCAGAAUUCAGUGAAUCAUCGAAUCUUUGAACGCACAUUGCGCCCGCCAGUAUUCUGGCGGGCAUGCCUGUUCGAGCGUCAUUACAACCCUCAGGCCCCCGGGCCUGGCGUUGGGGAUCGGCGGAAGCCCCCUGCGGGCACAACGCCGUCCCCCAAAUACAGUGGCGGUCCCGCCGCAGCUUCCAUUGCGUAGUAGCUAACACCUCGCAACUGGAGAGCGGCGCGGCCACGCCGUAAAACACCCAACUUCUGAAUGUUGACCUCGAAUCAGGUAGGAAUACCCGCUGAACUUAAGCAUAUCAAUAAGCAGAGGA